UGGAAUCUCAAGGAAUUAGACAUAAAUCUCCAGGAGACUUCCAAGAGUCAUCUGAGAGAUAAAUGGUAGGGCAUUGUUUAAAAUAAAUAUUAAAUAUUGAAUCUGAUUUAUACAGUAGUUCAGUGGGCUUUUUUAAAUGUAAUAGUAAUGUGCA